GGGGUCGACUGGUUUUGACAGCAAGUGGAAUUAGAUUGUAAGCAUGUUGAGCAUUGAGGUGUUGCUCAUUAAUAUAAUGUCUCAAAAUUUUACACGGCGAAAAUACUUACGCUUUAGCUGCUUAAUCCGAAUUAUAGUACGAUUUGCCUAGUCCCGACCAGGUCGGGAAGCUGGAUUCUCCUGAAAAGCCUUGGUUUAUGGCGUUUCGUCAAGGAGAACCGUAAAAGUAAACCUAGAGAAGGUAAUGCUUUAAAUCCUUCUUGACAUUGAUAAAGCUAAGUGUUGUGUUGCUGUUCUUGGCGUAGCAUAACAUCGAAAAUUUAAUCAGGAACUAAACAUGUAGAAAGCUUUUUGAUUGCUUGUUUGGACCCGAGUUCGAUUCUCGGCGACUCCACAG
rnacentral:tmRNA from 1 species